UGAAAACGUCAAAAGAUCGAUAAAUUCUCCAUUUGUUUGUCGCUUAACAACAUAAGUUAUGGAUGACUAUAUUAGAUGUAUCCUGUUGGAUAAUCACAUGGUCUGUCGUUCCAGUAAUGUUCGUUCCAUGAACAUGUGUUUGUACAGAAACAUGCACAAUAGCCAUCGCCAUUUGGUUGUAGUGGACCCCAGUUCUCAAACGUUAUUUUAGAAUUGUCAUAACUCCAAACCCACGAUCCAAUCAUGGAGGGAUCUUUUAAACCAAUCCAUGCAUCAUCUGAAAUACAAUGUUCUUUAAAACUAUUUGAUGAAAACUUCCUAUACAAAUGUUGUUUUGUUUUCUUUCAAAACACGAUAUUUUCACAUAAAUUGUAAUUUUCAAUGACAAUUUUUGGAAACAAAUAUAUUGUUCAUAGUAACAAUUAUUAAUUUAUUUGAUAUAGAGGAAUCAAGAUUUAAUGGCUUCAAUUAGUUAUAUCAUUAUACCUCUCUCUUUAAUACAUACUUUACGUUUCACUAACAAAAUUAUAUUUUUCUUUUCGUACGGCUGCUGGCAUGUCGAUAGAUAGUUUUUUAAAUAAGUUGUUCCCUCGAUUUUCUGUUUGAUAUUUAUAAAAAAAUGAAUAUGCUCGAUUAGUGUCAGUAAAACUUCAUAAUAGUACAUAUGGAACAAUUUAAAAGAUGUUGUUGGUUCUUUUACAGUUUUUAAUGUUUUAAAUUGGGAUAAUUAAAGGGGCACUAGCUGAUAGUUGUUGUCCAUUCGUU